ACCUUGGGAAAGAAAAGACCACAGGUGUCAACAUGUGUUGGAAAAGUUAUUAGAAUUCUGCCUUCAAUCCAUCACAAACCUACAGACCACUCAAAUAAAUGAUGACAGGUAACACUCAUGUUUAAGAUAUAGGAAGAGUUUGGUGACGACAAAUUGACCACCUGACGCUGACAUGCAUGGGACACAACUCACUGCUAUCAUAUUUCAUUCUUUACAAAUUGAAGGUUUGUGGCAGACCUCUCCCAGCAAGUCUAUUGGAACCAUCUUUCCAACAGCAUUUGCUCACCUUAUUUUGCUUUGUCACAGUGUGGUAAUUCUUAAAACAGUGUGGGAGAUAGUGAAGGACAUUACUGCCGUGCUGCCGAUCAUGGGGUCACAAACAGUGAGACAUGGCUUACCAACUGAACAACAAUGACAACACAUCAGUGUUAAAAAUUAAAACUUUUUAAAUCGCAUAUACUAUUAGUAAGCUAGAACUGCAUUCUUUAUUUAUAUUUCCAUGUAAGUAUUGUAUAAAUGCAUUAGAACAAGCUCCAUUUGUCAAGGACACUAAAAGAUUAACUGGAAUGUGAAAUGGCAGAUUCAUAUGUCUAUCUGUAUACACUCUUCCCAUCUUCAAGGAAAC
ensembl:lncRNA